rnacentral:lncRNA from 1 species
UAUAUACUAGUUCAGUGAUAAUGAACGCCAUACUAAUUUCCAAAUUGUACACAAGAAACUAAAAUUAAAAAAAAUACAAGACUAACAAAGGCCAGAGGCUCCUGACUUGGGACAGGCGCAAAAAUGCGGCGGGUUUAAACAUGUUUAUGAGAUCUCAACCCUCCCCUAUACCUCUAGCCAAUGUAGAAAAGUAAAUGCAUAACAAUACGCAC